rnacentral:rRNA from 1 species
UACGUAGGGUGCAAGCGUUGUCCGGAAUCAUUGGGCGUAAAGCGCGCGUAGGUGGCCAUUUAAGUCCGCUGUGAAAGUCAAAGGCUCAACCUUUGAAAGCCGGUGGAUACUGGAUGGCUAGAGUACGGAAGAGGCGAGUGGAAUUCCUGGUGUAGCGGUGGAAUGCGCAGAUAUCAGGAGGAACACCAAUAGCGAAGGCAGCUCGCUGGGACGUACUGACACUGAGGCGCGAAAGCGUGGGGAGCGAACAGG